UCCAGGGUAGCCGAGUUGACAAGGCACCUGCCCGGUAAGCAGAAGGGUGUGGGUUCGAUUCCCGCCCCUGGAC
rnacentral:tRNA from 1 species